GCAAGACUGGGAUAACAUUCGGAAACGAAUGCUAAUACCGGAUACGCAAUCCUCUCGCAUGAGGGAAUUGGGAAAGGCGGAGCAAUCUGCCACUUGUAGAUGGACCUGCGGCGCAUUAGCUAGUUGGUGGGGUAACGGCUCACCAAGGCGACGAUGCGUAGCCGACCUGAGAGGGUGAUCGGCCACACUGGGACUGAGACACGGCCCAGACUCCUACGGGAGGCAGCAGUAGGGAAUAUUGCACAAUGGGCGAAAGCCUGAUGCAGCGACGCCGCGUGAGGGAUGACGGCCUUCGGGUUGUAAACCUCUUUCAGCAGGGACGAAGCGCAAGUGACGGUACCUGCAGAAGAAGCACCGGCUAACUACGUGCCAGCAGCCGCGGUAAUACGUAGGGUGCAAGCGUUGUCCGGAAUUACUGGGCGUAAAGAGUUCGUAGGCGGUUUGUCGCGUCGUUUGUGAAAACCAGCAGCUCAACUGCUGGCUUGCAGGCGAUACGGGCAGACUUGAGUACUGCAGGGGAGACUGGAAUUCCUGGUGUAGCGGUGAAAUGCGCAGAUAUCAGGAGGAACACCGGUGGCGAAGGCGGGUCUCUGGGCAGUAACUGACGCUGAGGAGCGAAAGCGUGGGGAGCGAACAGGAUUAGAUACCCUGGUAGUCCACGCCGUAAACGGUGGGUACUAGGUGUGGGUUUCCUUCCUUGGGAUCCGUGCCGUAGCUAACGCAUUAAGUACCCCGCCUGGGGAGUAUGGCCGCAAGGCUAAAACU
rnacentral:rRNA from 1 species